GGAGGAACUGCUGGUGCGGACCGUUUACAUAAGUCCAGAAUUUUGAAAAAUCUGCUAAAGGAGCAAAAUUUGCCUGGAAGGGUAUAUGGAGCAAUCUGCUCUUCGCCAGCAAUCUUACACAGACGGGGGUUACAUAAGGAUAAGAGAGUCACUGCACAUCCAUCUGUUGCAAACAACCUCGCUUGUGAAGAUAUGGAUGGUGCUAAAGUGGUCAUUGAUGGCAAGGUGAUCACGAGCAGUGGACUUGCAUCUGUCACAGAUUUUGCACUGGCCAUCAUUAGCAAACUUUAUGGCCAUGGAAAGGUAAGAAGUGUUGCAGAAGGCCUCGUUUUUUAGUAUCCCAGAAGUUAGGGAGGUCCAUGGGCUUACUCCACAAAAAUCAGCUUCCCGGCUCAUCAUCCCUCUACUAAGAGAACUAUGUUUUUGCAUGGACAAUGCCCUCAUGUGGGAUUUUAGGGUUCUUCAGCUGAAUGGAGAGAAAUUUUGUUUCUCCUUUAUUUCAGAAUAAUGUGAAAGCUGUUCAUUCGAGAGAAUUUCAUGCACUUCGUGCGGGUGCUGAUUGGCAGGUUCUGCCGUUGCCUAAUGCAGAUGGGUUGUGGAUGAUUCAUUUGCUCCCGAUCCAAUCUAUAUUCAAGAUGGACUGAUGAGGAAAAAGAAAGUGGGGAGAUGUCAAAACAAGCUUAGUGUAUCUGCUGAGCUGCUUUUACUUAUUUAUCUUAUUUUCAGCUUCAAAGGCUACGCAUCUAAUGGGAGAUCGAAGUUGGGAAUGUCUUUUUCUCAUUUCUUUCCGCAAAUGUUCUUUUUCUUUUGUUUUCUUGUUUUAGUAGUAGUCUGAUGAUCCAGGUCUUUGAUGAGUGCUUCUUGUACAUACCCUC